AUGUUUCAAAUAGUGUACAGUGUAUUGAGACUUAAGAUGAGCGUUAAAUGUAAUUAAUGAGUCCUGGUUAAGAUGGAUGAUAUUUUCAAGAAGAAAUCAAACGAUAUAUUUUCAAAAAGUUUCAUCGACGUAUUUGAGAACAAAUCAGACAACGAUAUACUAGCACGUAAAAGUGUCGGCAUUGAUGUCUUUGAGACGAGAGAUGAUAUCUUUGAAAACCCAGGCUAUCAGGCUAACAUUUUCCCCGGAGAUAAAGAGACAGAACAUCAUGAACCAACAAUAAAGGAUAAACCACUCCAGGCUGCCGAUGUACUAUGCCAUGGAAAAUUCCGAAAGAACAGGUGCCAUGCCAAAGUCAUACAGAGGACGCUUGAACUUUAUAUGAAAGGAGACAACAACAACAUGAAAAAGAAACCAACUGCAGUUAAACCUAAGAGAGUAACAAUUAAGGAUGAUUUGGAUUGGUAGGGAUUUAAUCAAGGCUCGUUGAAACAGUUACCUAUUAGUGUUAACUGACACCCAAGUUCAAUUAGGCUGCAUCCAAAUCUGGACAUUGAAAAAGUGGAAACAGGAAACAAAUUAAGCGGACAUUUAUCUUUGCAGUCGAGAUAAUACUCAGCCAUUUUUGUCAAAGGUCGAUAAAGUGCUAUGUGUUUCAGAUUACUCCGCUCGGUGAAAGCAAAAAUAAUUCAAAAAGGAACGAACGUAACUUGUAAAUACAGAAAAGGCGUUUCAUUAUUUUUUGCUGUUUUCUGAUUUCAAAUUAACAAGCAAACGGAGUCAGUGCUAUCCAUAACUCUUGAUGCCACGCUCCCAUGUUUACCAAGAGCUGCCCACUACUCUUUGAAAUGAACCUGUGGGGUAUCCUGGUAAAUAUAUGACUUUGGGAAUAUAUUCAGACUAAGAACAUAGCUAUAUCGUCCAUGCUAAUGGUUGAACUUUUUAAGGUUACAAUCUGUGUUUCGAUGCAAUUGUUUAUUUAUCAUUUAAAAUCAGAAUAAAGAAUAAAGAAUGAAAAAUAAAUUAUCAACUUCAAUGUUCAUGUUUCAAUGUUCUUCAAGUAAAAUACAUUUUAGUCACUGAUCAUGCAUAAAUAGCAACAUUUAAAUCUAAAAUAAUCUCAAAUAAAGUUUUAACAAUCACGAAGCUCAUUCAUAUACUAACUAUGUCUAUAAACAUAUAAUUAUAAGUUAUCAGAUAUGAUGUAAUUGAAGAUCUUUAAAAUGUUUAGUCUGCUUAACAACCGGAACGGUAUAAUUUGCUAUAGAAGGGAAGAUCUCAAAGUGUUUAAAAUGUAUAAUUCCACGUUUAAACGUUAUGUUUAGUAUUUGUUUUAAACUUGGACAGUUGAUAGAAAUACUACAUCGAUCUGAAUUAUAAAAGUCACUUGUCAUCAAAACUGGAAAAAUUCCAAAACGAAACCAAUACAGUGAAAGUUAAAAUGGAAAUUUUCUUUAAAAUAACUUAGUUAAUUCGGAAAAGCAAUCUUCAAUUUUGUUACCAUUCUAUUUUUUAAUAUACAUGUAUCUAUUUUUGUAAGAGUUUUGUAGAGAAUCCAUUUUUGCACGAAAAUUUAAUUUUGAAUUCAAUGGUUUCAUAUUUUGAGGAAUUUUGUGUUGAUGGCAGAUCUUUGAUAGACUGUGUUUUUAAUUUAUUCACACAGUUGAAGUAACGGGGCGGGUUAUAGCUUGACAUAUUGUAUAUGUUUAAUAUUGGUGAAGACCUAUGUUGACCCCUGGGCGUCAUUUGGGGUUUCUGUGUCGUUAGGUUAUUGUCUAAUUGAUAUGAACCCACGUCUCCUUUAUUCUAGCAGUGUAUCACCGGUAAAAAUUAAUCCUGAGUUAUUAUAAAACUUUGCUUUCUGCUAAUGUUUGUUGCACUAGAAGUGUUUCACUUAUGAAUGCAUGACAAACGUGACAAUAAAAUACGUUAUCUUUAUAUAUUUUA